UACGGAGGAUGCAAGCGUUAUCCGGAAUCAUUGGGCGUAAAGCGUCCGCAGGUGGCUGUGUAAGUCUGCUGUCAAAGAGCAAAGCUCAACUUUGUAAAGGCAGUGGAAACUACACGGCUAGAGUGCGUUCGGGGCAGAGGGAAUUCCUGGUGUAGCGGUGAAAUGCGUAGAGAUCAGGAAGAACACCGGUGGCGAAGGCGCUCUGCUAGGCCGCAACUGACACUGAGGGACGAAAGCUAGGGGAGCGAAUGGG
rnacentral:rRNA from 1 species